AGUAAUGUCUGGGAAACUGCCUGAUGGAGGGGGAUAACUACUGGAAACGGUAGCUAAUACCGCAUAACGUCGCAAGACCAAAGAGGGGGACCUUCGGGCCUCUUGCCAUCGGAUGUGCCCAGAUGGGAUUAGCUUGUUGGUGGGGUAACGGCUCACCAAGGCGACGAUCCCUAGCUGGUCUGAGAGGAUGACCAGCCACACUGGAACUGAGACACGGUCCAGACUCCUACGGGAGGCAGCAGUGGGGAAUAUUGCACAAUGGGCGCAAGCCUGAUGCAGCCAUGCCGCGUGUAUGAAGAAGGCCUUCGGGUUGUAAAGUACUUUCAGCGGGGAGGAAGGGAGUAAAGUUAAUACCUUUGCUCAUUGACGUUACCCGCAGAAGAAGCACCGGCUAACUCCGUGCCAGCAGCCGCGGUAAUA
rnacentral:rRNA from 1 species